rnacentral:lncRNA from 1 species
GCUCUGCCCAGGUAGUACAGAGAUCAGAGGGGGUGGGAGACGUGUGGUUGGAUUCAUGACACAGCAGUGCGUUUUAAUAGGCCUUGGGUCGCCCAUGGGGCCGGGGCUGCAGUACCGCAGCCCCAGGCGGUGGAGACGCCCCGUUCCCUUGCUGCCCCGCGGGUCCUCCGCGCCGCCGGCCCCUGUGCGCUGGGCUCGCACCUCCGGCGUGCGAGAUCUGUGAGGAGCCCUUCUGAAGCGGUCUGAUCAGUUAAAUUGUUUUGAUCAACACUUGUAAUACGAAUUGUUUACAUGCUUGAGGGAAGCCAUCAAGUUUCGCCACCAUUGUGGAUAUGUUUUCCAUCAGUCUGAUUAACAGGUUUACAUAAAGCUGCACUAUUUUCUGCUCCUUCAUCCGAUCCAAUUCCUGCUUGUAUGAUGCCAUGGAGAGGAUAAGAACUAAGCAUCCUUUGUGAUCAAAGCGUUCGUGCUGCGGUGGUGAUAUGAGAACCUAAAUGGGACAGAACUAGAAGUGGAAAGAAGCCUAUUUCCAUCGACAUUCUGCGCCCACACUGCCAUUUCCAGAUCUGCUUCCAGGUUCAAAUUCCUGCUCCUCUUUAGAGAGCAUGAGGGAAAAAUUCUCAGGCUUGAGUGUGAAACCUGCCCAGCUGGUCGUAUCCUUCUCUCGGCAAAGCUGAGACAGGCCACAACUCACAGCAACAUUUGUCCUCAGCCAGUUGCCACUGCUGGGAGAAAAAAAAAGAAAAAAGAACAAGAAAAUAAGCUCUGUGUGAGAUCAAGAUUUCAAUGCAUUGCACACCAAAACAUUUGUUGCUAUUUACUUUUAAAAGUGCCCUUCUGAGGCAGCACGGCUAGAGCUGCCAUCUGUUCAGGGUUACGCUCUGGAACUCCUGGUUUCCCUGCAAACCUCCUGCCUCGUGCGCUGCUCCGUCUGCACGGAAAAGAGAGGUAGCAGGGGAUAAUGGGCUGGCUUUAGAGGAAAUAUAACUUUACAGCUGGAUCUGAAAUUCUGGCCUGGUUGUCAGGGAACCACGGAUAUGAGAGGUGUAAAAAGAUUCUUGAUAGUGAAGCUGAC